GACCUCCCAGUACUUACCAGAGGCUGUAUUCUUUACACUUACUCUACAGUAAGUGAAGGCACAGUAAACCCACCCAAUAUGCACUUCAGCCCAGACCCUUUGCCUAGCCUGUAUUGUGGAUGGGGGGACCUGG